AUAUUGCGUUGAACUCUAAGGGCUAAACAUGUAGGCCCGUUUGUUUGGCCGGAAUUUGUUUAACAGCAACCAUAAAAGGAAUGCCGAAUUAUCUAUUAGCAGUUACAGUUUCCAUGUUACCCAACUCCCCCCCCAAAAAAAGAUCACUGGAUUACUUUAAUACUUAAACUCAUUUAAAAACAGCUGAUUUUAAAGCGAGCUCUGGACUUGAUGAUUUCCAAGCGGAUUUAACGGUCGGAAUUCAGGAUGGACGUCGGAUAUAAUGGUAUCUUUAGGAAGAAUACCAGCAUGCAGACAAGACGCUGGGCUCUCGCCGCCCCAAACAAUCACCAUUAGGUGGGCCAUGACAGAGCUUUUCCACACCGUGCGACGGACUGAAACAGCUGCUGACAAGCCCAUCUCUCCCGGGCCCCCGCCGCAGUCUGCUGCCAUGCUCUGAUUGUGACACCGGUUUUCGGAUAAGGUACUCUCAGGACAUACCUCAAGAUGACAGUGCGAUAAACAGAAUACCCUAAUGGCUUUUCCUACAUUUGAUUCAAUUUUCCGCAAGAUCCAGGAACUGCUGAAUUGUUUCCAUCUUGCAGCACCGUACUCUUAUCUGGUUUGAUCACAGGUUUCAACCUUUACAUGAUGCAAUGGAUGUCAGGGUUGAUGUAUUGGACUUUUUUUUUCUUUAACGGUAAUUACAGAGCAAUUAUGGAUAAAUCUCAGGGUAGGAUGCAUUCAUACUUUCACUAAUCCAGACAUGGAGCCGCUAAACAUGUAAUUACCUUAUAAAAGAAGUAUGCCCAAUUUACAUGCACUCAACAGAAUGUAAGGGCUGAUAAUGUGGUGAUUUUCACCAGGAUAACUACUGGGAUCAGGUGUUUACGCACUAAUCAGUGCUGAAGCAUGACGUGAAGAGUCUGCAUAAUGAACAAUUAUGACUGUAAUUGAAUGUCUGCAGACUGUUACCUCACCUUUAGAGCUGUGGUGUUGACGGUGAAUAAAAUAUGGUGGCAAAAUA